rnacentral:rRNA from 1 species
UACGGGGGGGGCAAGCGUUGUUCGGAAUUACUGGGCGUAAAGGGCGCGUAGGCGGCCUUCUAAGUCAGACGUGAAAUCCCUCGGCUUAACCGGGGAACUGCGUCUGAUACUGGAUGGCUUGAGUUUGGGAGAGGGAUGCGGAAUUCCAGGUGUAGCGGUGAAAUGCGUAGAUAUCUGGAGGAACACCGGUGGCGAAGGCGGCAUCCUGGACCAAUUCUGACACUGAGGAGCGAAAGCCAGGGGAGCAAACGGG